rnacentral:rRNA from 1 species
UACAGAGGGUGCAAGCGUUGUUCGGAAUCAUUGGGCGUAAAGAGCUCGUAGGUGGUCUGUUACGUCUGCUGUGAAAACCUAGGGCUUAACCCUGGGCGUGCAGUGGAUACGGGCAGACUAGAGGUAGGUAGGGGAGAAUGGAAUUCCCGGUGUAGCGGUGAAAUGCGCAGAUAUCGGGAGGAACACCGGUGGCGAAGGCGGUUCUCUGGGCCUUACCUGACACUGAGGAGCGAAAGCGUGGGGAGCGAACAGG